UACGUAGGGGGCAAGCGUUGUCCGGAUUUAUUGGGCGUAAAGAGCGUGUAGGCGGCCAGACAGGUCAGCUGUGAAAACUCGAGGCUCAACCUCGAGACGUCGGUUGAAACCGUCUGGCUAGAGUCCGGAAGAGGAGAGUGGAAUUCCCAGUGUAGCGGUGAAAUGCGCAGAUAUCGGGAAGAACACCCGUGGCGAAGGCGGCUCUCUGGGACGGUACUGACGCUGAGACGCGAAAGCGUGGGGAGCGAACAGG
rnacentral:rRNA from 1 species